UCCCCGAGGCUCCUGUACCUAUGCUGGGGUUGACAGGGCCUUUGCACGAUGUCGAUUUGCUUUAUAGCCAAUACACCAGGCACUGAAAUGAACUGAGCUCCUCCCCUCAGCUAGUGGGCAUGACUGCUUACAUCCCUGACAGCUCUGUGCCACAACACACCCUUCUGCUCCAAGAGGACUAGGAGACACCCUAGAGCUAGCACCUCAGGAUAAGAAGGAGAAGCAAAUACAUUCUGGGGUUAUUUUCUUGAGAAUAUAUGAUGGUGCUUGAAAGGUACAAUGUGGCAAGUAGCAGGACAUGAAACAGAAAGCAGCCGCAUUUAACCAGUCACCAGCCAAGGGAAGAGCUGGGUGAGGAUAAAAGAUCUCAACACUAAAGCACUGAGCCAACAGAAUAAGAUGGAUAUUCUGUUGAGUCUCACCAAAUAUGAACAGUCUGCUAGGUAUGGUUGCAGCCAGCGCCAAAUGCUUCAGAGGGAAUGAACAGAACAGGGCAAUUAUCCAAUGAUCCAUCCUGUCAUCCAGGGCCAGGUUCUGGCAGUCAGAGGUUUAGAUAAACAGAGCAUGGGAAACAGCCAUUCAUGGACCUAUCCUCCAUGAACUUAUCUAAUUGUUUUUUGAAUCCAGCUAUACUUUUGGCCUCCACAACAUCCCAUGGCAAUGAAUGCCACAGGUUGACUGGACACUGUGUGAAAUACUUUCUUAUAUUUGUUUUAAACAUGCUGCCUAUUAAUUUUAUUGGGCGAUCCCUGGUUCUUGUGUUAUUUCCCUAUUCACUUUUUCCACACCAUUUGUGAUUUUAUAGACCUUUGUCAUCUCCCACUCAGUCAUCUCUUUGUUCAGCUCAGAAGUCACAGUCUUUUAAAAUCUUUUCUUAUACGGAAGCUGUUCCAUACCCUUAAUCAUUUUUGUUGCCCUUCUCUGCACCUCUUCCAAUUGUAAAAUACCUUUUUUGAGAUGGGGCAACCAGAACUGUAUGUAGCAUUCAAGGAGUGAUGUAUCUUUUAUUUAUUUAUUUCACAAAUGCCAAAAUCCACACAUCACAUUAGCCACUCACUGACCUAUUCCGCCCAUCCCCAAGGAACCCAUUUCCAACUCACAUCCAGAAAACUUAACUCUAACCUCAUACUUUCGCCACAAAACACCUAAGUUAUCACACACUUACCCAGUGCACAUUUGCGAACAGUAAGUAUGUAAAUACUGUGGAGACUGGAGUUGAAGUUUUGCAUAACAAUGAAUUACCUAUAUUUGAAUAGGGUGUGAGGUGGAAGCAGAUUCUUAUGGAAGCACAGUGUAGCAAUUAAAAUACCUGAUUUUAAUCAAGAUUUAAAUCAAUGUUAAUCUUGUUUUGCAUGUGUCCUUUAACUGUUUUCCUAAAUGAAGGUUGAUUCUCAUUGGUAGGUAAUCAUUAAAACAUGUUGAUUUGCAUCUUAAUAUAGCCUUUACGCUAUAUUUCAAACUUCUCUUUGCUAACCAGGGGGAUACACUACGUCAAUACACAUUUAAGAAAUUAUAUAGCUUAAUGUUUUCAGAUUUAUUUAAUUUACUUUUUUACUUGUAAACAUUAUGAAUGACAUCUUUUAUUUACUAGAUUAAUUUUUACUCAUGCCUUGUGUCAAUCUGCAUUUGGAUAGAAAUUGGAAUUAAAUUAAAAAUGCACAAAAAGCAUUAUUUUAAAAUUGUUUUCUAUUAAAUAAGACUACUUUUAAUUUGCUGUAUAUAUAAGAAAAAACUUAUCAAAAAUAUUUUGCAUUUAAAGCUGGUUUAUUACACGAAGGAAGUAUUAUCUGUAAAUAGUGAAUUGUACUGAUUGUCCUUAGUCACCAUUUCCAUCAAUAUUUUAGAACUAGUAGAGCUCAUCCUCUAACACCUUGCUUUUAUUCCUAGUUUCUAAGGAAAACAAGAUUUCCUGCUUUUUCAUUUCCCAAUCAGUUUCUCAACUUUGAAUAAGCAAGUCAUUGAACUGAACUAGUUGUAUGAACUCAAAUGAAGAAAAUAUUCUCUGUGCCUGCACAAGAGGCUACUGCUGUCAAAUCUGGCUUAGCACUUCAAAAGUGACUUCCACCAGACCAGUGGACUUUACAACUUUUCUUUAGAACUUAAGCAGCAAACAUGUUCUUCUUGAAUCUUUCAGUUAAUUAAACUAGUUAAUAGAUUACAGUAGAUUGACAAUUUGAAAUGUAAUUUUAAAUAGGUUUACUUUUAAAAAAGAAAAAAAUGUAAACAAAAACUCAGAGUCAAAUAAAAAUGCAACAUUUUAGG